rnacentral:rRNA from 1 species
UACGUAGGGGGCGAGCGUUAUCCGGAUUUAUUGGGCGUAAAGGGUGCGUAGGCGGUUUAUUAAGUUUAAGAUCAAAGCCCGAGGCUUAACCUCGGUUCGUCUUAAAAACUGGUAGACUUGAGUGUGGUAGAGGUAAGUGGAAUUUCUAGUGUAGCGGUUAAAUGCAUAGAUAUUAGAAGGAACACCAGUGGCGAAGGCGACUUACUGGGCCAUUACUGACGCUGAUGCACGAAAGCGUGGGGAGCAAAUA